UUGAACGCUGGCGGCAUGCUUUACACAUGCAAGUCGAACGGCAGCGCGGGCUUCGGCCUGGCGGCGAGUGGCGAACGGGCGAGUAAUGCAUCGGAACGUGCCCAGUAGUGGGGGAUAGCCCGGCGAAAGCCGGAUUAAUACCGCAUACGACCUGAGGGUGAAAGCGGGGGACCGAAAGGCCUCGCGCUAUUGGAGCGGCCGAUGUCGGAUUAGCUAGUUGGUGGGGUAAAGGCUUACCAAGGCGACGAUCCGUAGCUGGUCUGAGAGGACGACCAGCCACACUGGGACUGAGACACGGCCCAGACUCCUACGGGAGGCAGCAGUGGGGAAUUUUGGACAAUGGGGGCAACCCUGAUCCAGCCAUGCCGCGUGCGGGAAGAAGGCCUUCGGGUUGUAAACCGCUUUUGUUCGGGAAGAAAUCCUCUGGGCUAAUACCCCGGGGGGAUGACGGUACCGGAAGAAUAAGCACCGGCUAACUACGUG
rnacentral:rRNA from 1 species